GACGAACGCUGGCGGCGUGCUUAACACAUGCAAGUCGAACGAAGUGGCGAAGGGGAGAGUAACGCGUAAUCAACCUGCCAUUCAGAGGGGGACAACAGUUGGAAAAGACUUCUAAUAGCGCAUACUGAAGGAGGGGAUUGCGUUUGAUUAGCUAGUGGGAGGGGUAACGGCCCAACAAGGCGAUGAUCAGUAGCCGGUCUGAGAGGAGGAACGGCCACAUUGGGACUGCGACACGGCCCAGACUCCGACGGGAGGCAGCAGUGGGGAAUCUUCCGCAAUGGACGAAAGUCUGACGGGGCAACGCCGCGUGAGUGAUGACGGCCUUCGGGUUGUAAAGCUCUGUUAAUCGGGACGCGGUACCGGAAUAGAAAGCCACGGCUAACUACGUGCCAGCAGCCGCGGUAAUAC
rnacentral:rRNA from 1 species